GAUGAACGCUGGCGGCGUGCCUAAUACAUGCAAGUCGAGCGAACAGACGAGGAGCUUGCUCCUCUGACGUUAGCGGCGGACGGGUGAGUAACACGUGGAUAACCUACCUAUACGACUGGGAUCACUUCGGGAAACCGGAGCUAAUACCGGAUAAUAUAUUGAACCGCAUGGUUCAAUAGUGAAAGACGGUUUUGCUGUCACUUCUAGAUGGCUCCGCGCCGCAUUAGCUAGUUGGUACGGUAACGGCUUACCAAGGCAACGAUGCGUAGCCGACCUGAGAGGGUGAUCGGCCACACUGGAACUGAGACACGGUCCAGACUCCUACGGGAGGCAGCAGUAGGGAAUCGUCCGCGAUGGGCGAAAGCCUGACGGAGCGACGCCGCGUGGGUGAUGAAGGUCUUCGGAUCGUAAAACUCUGUUAUUAGGGAAGAACAAAUGUGUAAGUAACUAUGCACGUCUUGACGGUACCUAAUCAGAAAGCCACGGCUAACUACGUG
rnacentral:rRNA from 1 species